rnacentral:lncRNA from 1 species
GCUUGUAGCAAGAAAAGAUCAUCCAAGAAUAAUUGGCACAAUUUGGUCAGCUUCACAUUCUAAAAUAAGAAAAUUUUCAUGAAAGAAAAAUUUAUCUACUCUUACCAGCACAUCUUCAAUUUUACCUUUUAGAUGCACGUAGGAUAAGUCAGCUAGUUGCAAUGUAACCGUAGUAGGUUUCACUUUUCCAAUUCCUAGCUUCUUGAAAAUAGACAUAAGCAUUAAAUUUAUACUCGCCCCUAUAUCACAUUAUUCUUACCAAC